rnacentral:rRNA from 1 species
UACGUAGGGGGGCAAGCGUUGUCCGGAAUCAUUGGGCGUAAAGAGCGUGUAGGCGGCCCGAUAAGUCCGCUGUGAAAGUCCAGGGCUCAACCCUGGGAUGCCGGUGGAUACUGUCGGGCUCGACGUCCGGAAGAGGAGUGUGGAAUUCCGUGGUGUAGCGGUGAAAUGCGCAGAUAUCAGGAGGAACACCAAUGGCGAAGGCAGCACUCUGGGACGUGACUGACGCUGAGACGCGAAAGCGUGGGGAGCAAACAGG